AUGAAAGCUUGUUCGGCCACGGGGCAAGAUGGCCUCCCGGUAUUCCAGAAAUUCAGGGAGAUCCUACGUCCGGUCAGUAUGCCCAUGUUACAUGAGUUCUAUAUUGGAACCCUGGAUAUGGAUAGGAUUAACUAUGGUGUCAUAUCUCUGAUCCCCAAAGUAGUUGGGGCUAUGGAUAUUCAGAAGUUUCGUCCCAUCACGGUGAUCAACAUGUUGGAGCGAAUCUUUGUGAAGGUUUGCAUGACCCGUUUAUCCCCCGUGGCAGAAAGGAUUGCCCACCCCCUUCAGUCCGCGUUCUUGAAGGGCAGGCGGAUCCAUGACGGGACUUUGCCCAUCACGAGAUCGUCCACGAGGCGAAGGGUCUUAAGGGGGUCUUCCUCAAAUUGGACUUCCAUAAGGCGUAUGAUCGUCUGGAAUGGUCCUUUUUGA
rnacentral:rRNA from 1 species